GAUGAACGCUGGCGGCGUGCCUAAUACAUGCAAGUCGAGCGAACGGACUAUAAGCUUGCUUCUCUGAUGUUAGCGGCGGACGUGUUAGUAACACGUGGAUAACCUCCCUAUAAGACUGGGAUAACUUCGGGAAUCCGGAGCUAAUACCGGAUAAUAUUUUGAACCGCAUGGUUCAACAGUGAAAGACGGUCUUGCUGUCACUUAUAGAUGGAUCAGCGCUGCAUUAGAUAGUUGUUAAGGUAACGGAUUACCAAGGCAACGAUGCAUAGCCCACCUGAGAGGGUGAACGGACACACUGGAACUGAGACACGGUCCAGACACCUACGGGAGGAAGCAGUAGGGAAUCUUACGCAAUGGGGGAAAGCCUGACGGAGCAACGCCGCGUGAGUGAUGAAGGUCCUCGGAUCGUAAAACUCUGUUAUUAGGGAAGAACAAAUGUGUAAGUAACUGUGCACAUCUUGACGGUACCUAAUCAGAAAGCCACGGCUAACUACGUG
rnacentral:rRNA from 1 species